UGGGGAAUUUUCCGCAAUGGGCGAAAGCCUGACGGAGCAAUACCGCGUGAGGGAGGAAGGCUUUUGGGUUGUAAACCUCUUUUCUUAGGGAAGAAGAAAGUGACGGUACCUAAGGAAUCAGCAUCGGCUAACUCCGUGCCAGCAGCCGCGGUAAUACGGAGGAUGCAAGCGUUAUCCGGAAUUAUUGGGCGUAAAGCGUCCGCAGGCGGCUUAUCAAGUCUGCUGUUAAAGGUCGGGGCUCAACUCCGGUUCGGCAGUGGAAACUGAUAAGCUAGAGUACGGUAGGGGUAGAGGGAAUUCCCAGUGUAGCGGUGAAAUGCGUAGAUAUUGGGAAGAACACCAGUGGCGAAGGCGCUCUACUGGGCCGUAACUGACGCUGAGGGACGAAAGCUAGGGGAGCGAAAGGGAUUAGAUACCCCGGUAGUCC
rnacentral:rRNA from 1 species